rnacentral:rRNA from 1 species
AUCUGGGCGGCGGAAUUCAGGAUGGCGGACGUGUCUUGUCGGCGCGUUGGUCGUUUGAUAUUUCCGUCGCCGAGCAUACGCAGACGUCGCGACCUGUUCGCGGCCGGUCCCUGCUCCGGAGGAGUCGCGUUCGAGUUCGAUUGUGAUCGCGUUUCGGCGCGUUCACGGCGAAGGCGCGUAUCUCCGGCUGGCCGUCGGACAGUACGCUUAACGGUGUCCGGUGUCGUCGUAUUCGUACGCGCGCGCACCGGUACCGGUCGGCGACGAAUUCUUCGGGCCUCUUUCCGACCCGUCUUGAAACACGGACCAAGGAGUCUAACAUGCGCGCGAGUCGCGGGGUGUCGAGCGUACCUCGGUGCGUUCGUUACGUUGCGAAACCCGUACAUGUCGAAGGCGUAAUGAAAGUGAAUGGGGAAGAUGGUGUUCCGAGUACACGUUCCGCGAUCGUCGGUAUCGCGGCCGGACGCCCGCAUUCCCGGGGCGUCUCAACGGCCCGUCGCGAACGCGGACAGUCGUCUUCCGGGGCGGCUGUCGGUUCGCGACGAACCGA